rnacentral:tRNA from 1 species
GGGGAUUUAGCUCAGUGGUAGAGUGUGCAAGUGCAAGGCCCUGGGUUCGAUCCCCAGCUCCA